GACGUCGAUAUUCGACGUCAUAAACACGAUCAACUUUGGUAUUUCUGACGUCGAUAUUGGACGUCAUAAACACGAUCAACUUUGGUGUUUAUGGCGUCGAUAUUCGACGUCAUAAACACGAUCAACUUUGGUUUUUAUGACGUCGAUAUCCGACGUCAUAAACACGAUCAACUUUGGUGUUUCUGACGUCGAUAUUGGACGUCAUAAACACGAUCAACUUUGGUGUUUAUGGCGUCGAUAUUCGACGUC
rnacentral:miRNA from 1 species